rnacentral:rRNA from 1 species
UACGUAAGGUGCGAGCGUUGUCCGGAAUUAUUGGGCGUAAAGGGCUCGUAGGCGGUUUGUCGCGUCGGGAGUGAAAUCCACUGGCUUAACUGGUGGCUUGCUUUCGAUACGGGCAGACUGGAGGUAUGCAGGGGAGAACGGAAUUCCUGGUGUAGCGGUGAAAUGCGCAGAUAUCAGGAGGAACACCGGUGGCGAAGGCGGAUCUCUGGGCCAUUACUGACGCUGAGGAGCGAAAGCGUGGGGAGCAAACAGG